AACGAACGCUGGCGGCAUGCCUAACACAUGCAAGUCGAACGAGACCUUCGGGUCUAGUGGCGCACGGGUGCGUAACGCGUGGGAACCUGCCCUUAGGUUCGGAAUAACUCCCCGAAAGGGGUGCUAAUACCGGAUAAUGUCUUCGGACCAAAGAUUUAUCGCCUUUGGAUGGGCCCGCGUUGGAUUAGCUAGUUGGUAGGGUAAAAGCCUACCAAGGCGACGAUCCAUAGCUGGUCUGAGAGGAUGAUCAGCCACACUGGGACUGAGACACGGCCCAGACUCCCACGGGGGGCAGCAGUGGGGAAUAGUGGACAAUGGGCGAAAGCCUGAUCCAGCAAUGCCGGGGGAGUGAUGAAGGCCUUAGGGUUGAAAAGCUUUUUUCCCCGGGAGGAAAAUGACAGUACCGGGAAAAAAAGCCCCGGCUAACUCCGU
rnacentral:rRNA from 1 species